UACUCGAGUGGCGAACGGGUGAGUAACACGUGGGUAAUCUGCCCUGCACUUCGGGAUAAGCUUGGGAAACUGGGUCUAAUACCGGAUAGGAGCCAUCUUUAGUGUGGUGGUUGGAAAGUUUUUUCGGUGUAGGAUGAGCUCGCGGCCUAUCAGCUUGUUGGUGGGGUAAUGGCCUACCAAGGCGGCGACGGGUAGCCGGCCUGAGAGGGUGUACGGCCACAUUGGACUGAGAUACGGCCCAG
rnacentral:rRNA from 1 species